AGAGUUUGAUCCUGGCUCAGGAUGAGCGCUAGCUACAGGCUUAACACAUGCAAGUCGAGGGGCAGCAUGGUCUUAGCUUGCUAAGGCCGAUGGCGACCGGCGCACGGGUGAGUAACACGUAUCCAACCUGCCGUCUACUCUUGGACAGCCUUCUGAAAGGAAGAUUAAUACAAGAUGGCAUCAUGAGUCCGCAUGUUCACAUGAUUAAAGGUAUUCCGGUAGACGAUGGGGAUGCGUUCCAUUAGAUAGUAGGCGGGGUAACGGCCCACCUAGUCUUCGAUGGAUAGGGGUUCUGAGAGGAAGGUCCCCCACAUUGGAACUGAGACACGGUCCAAACUCCUACGGGAGGCAGCAGUGAGGAAUAUUGGUCAAUGGGCGAGAGCCUGAACCAGCCAAGUAGCGUGAAGGAUGACUGCCCUAUGGGUUGUAAACUUCUUUUAUAAAGGAAUAAAGUCGGGUAUGCAUACCCGUUUGCAUGUACUUUAUGAAUAAGGAUCGGCUAACUCCGUGCCAGCAGCCGCGGUAAUACGGAGGAUCCGAGCGUUAUCCGGAUUUAUUGGGUUUAAAGGGAGCGUAGAUGGAUGUUUAAGUCAGUUGUGAAAGUUUGCGGCUCAACCGUAAAAUUGCAGUUGAUACUGGAUAUCUUGAGUGCAGUUGAGGCAGGCGGAAUUCGUGGUGUAGCGGUGAAAUGCUUAGAUAUCACGAAGAACUCCGAUUGCGAAGGCAGCCUGCUAAGCUGCAACUGACAUUGAGGCUCGAAAGUGUGGGUAUCAAACAGGAUUAGAUACCCUGGUAGUCCACACGGUAAACGAUGAAUACUCGCUGUUUGCGAUAUACAGCAAGCGGCCAAGCGAAAGCGUUAAGUAUUCCACCUGGGGAGUACGCCGGCAACGGUGAAACUCAAAGGAAUUGACGGGGGCCCGCACAAGCGGAGGAACAUGUGGUUUAAUUCGAUGAUACGCGAGGAACCUUACCCGGGCUUGAAUUGCAGAGGAAGGAUUUGGAGACAAUGACGCCCUUCGGGGUCUCUGUGAAGGUGCUGCAUGGUUGUCGUCAGCUCGUGCCGUGAGGUGUCGGCUUAAGUGCCAUAACGAGCGCAACCCCUCUCCUUAGUUGCCAUCAGGUUAAGCUGGGCACUCUGGGGACACUGCCACCGUAAGGUGUGAGGAAGGUGGGGAUGACGUCAAAUCAGCACGGCCCUUACGUCCGGGGCUACACACGUGUUACAAUGGCAGGUACAGAGAGACGGUUGUACGUAAGUACGAUCAAACCCUUAAAGCCUGUCUCAGUUCGGACUGGGGUCUGCAACCCGACCCCACGAAGCUGGAUUCGCUAGUAAUCGCGCAUCAGCCAUGGCGCGGUGAAUACGUUCCCGGGCCUUGUACACACCGCCCGUCAAGCCAUGAAAGCCGGGGGCGCCUAAAGUCCGUGACCGUAAGGAGCGGCCUAGGGCGAAACUGGUAAUUGGGGCUAAGUCGUAACAAGGUA
rnacentral:rRNA from 1 species